CGUCGCUGUUUCCGUUACUGGGCAUCUUCUGCUGCCAUCCUCGCGCCCGUCUACCAGGCUGCUCUUAGGAGCGCGUUGUCAUGCCGACUGAAGGACCGUCAGAGCUGCGUCAAGCUGACGGCAGUCUCAUCUCAGAUCAGCUGCUCACUUUCCCAGACCUUGAAAGUCCUUGAGAGUGCUGAUGGCCACUGAGUGAUAACGGUAAUGUUCUGCUGGGAAACUUUGGGCUCAUUCAUGUGGCUGCCAUGCAACAUCCCUCCCUGAUGGCAAUGAAACUCACCAUGCACCCUGACACUGCACAAAAUCUACGUGACAAAGAGCUCAAAGUGUUGAUCAGAUCGAGCAUCUUUGGGACUUCCUGGAACAACCCAUGGAGACGCCACCUGGCAACGGCUGGAACUCAAAGUGCCAUUUGUGUCCACUAGUGCACGAGUGUCAGACACCACCAGGCAUCCCACAAGUCCUGUGUCCAUGCCCAUCAGAAUAAAAGUUUAAAAACUGAAUUAGAAGAAAAUGAAGAAAAACUUCUGAAAACACGUGAAUGUCAAAAUCUAACAUCAUGAACCUUGAGUUUUAUUGUGAAAUCAGAGACCGGAGGUGCUGAUGUGACGUCACAGCGGCUGCCUUGACCAUGUGGAGCGCCUCACUGAGCUGGGUGUGGACUCUCUCUCUCCUGCUGUCUGUCUAUAUCUCUCUCUCCUCAGCUUCUGCACACCAACUCCGAUU